rnacentral:rRNA from 1 species
GAUGAACGCUGGCGGCGUGCCUAAUACAUGCAAGUCGAGCGAACGGACGAGAAGCUUGCUUCUCUGAUGUUAGCGGCGGACGGGUGAGUAACACGUGGAUAACCUACCUAUAAGACUGGGAUAACUUCGGGAAACCGGAGCUAAUACCGGAUAAUAUUUUGAACCGCAUGGUUCAAAAGUGAAAGACGGUCUUGCUGUCACUUAUAGAUGGAUCCGCGCUGCAUUAGCUAGUUGGUAAGGUAACGGCUUACCAAGGCAACGAUGCAUAGCCGACCUGAGAGGGUGAUCGGCCACACUGGAACUGAGACACGGUCCAGACUCCUACGGGAGGCAACAGUAGGGAAUCUUCCGCAAUGGGCGAAAGCCUGACGGAGCAACGCCGCGUGAGUGAUGAAGGUCUUCGGAUCGUAAAACUCUGUUAUUAGGGAAGAACAUAUGUGUAAGUAACUGUGCACAUCUUGACGGUACCUAAUCAGAAAGCCGCGGCUAACUACGUG